rnacentral:pre_miRNA from 1 species
ACGAAGCUCCCCACACUGCGACUCGUCUAUUGAAGAAAUAGUGGCAGUUCGCGAGCUUCGAGA